UUCUAUAGUACAUAAAAAAUUUUUUUUCCUAUACGAACAAAUUUGUUAAAAUUUGACUUAAAUUGAAAUUAUAAAAUGUAUUCAAUUUAACAUGUUACAAACUACAUGUACUACAUGUAAAUCUUAGGGGAAAACUUGUGUAUAAAAAUAAAACUUACUCAGUUAUCAAUGAAUAAUUUAAUUUUGGAUGUAACGAGUCUUCUGAUUGGCUGACGUUAUUUUGUUAUGAGCCCAUAGACAUAAUUUAGUCAUGUGACCGUGACGUCAUCAACGUUUUUUCAUGGUUUUCUACGGUUUAAAAUGGAAUUUAGAAUGAAAUUAUAAGAAAUGACUGUAAUAUUUAUUCUGUCUAUUCGAAAUAACAUAAAAAAUGUGGUGCACACGGUUAAAUAACCUGCUACGUGCGUUAUUCAAUGUGCUCCACAUUUUUUAUAGUACAGUCAUUCCUUAAAUAUCAAAACAAAACUUUGAAAUAAAACCAAUUAUUUUUAUUUAAGAAAGGUUGCACUGUAUUUUUAUGUAUUUUUACAUUUUUUAUUGUUAGUUGUUAUCUAAUAUAGUUUAGAAUUUGUUACUGAAUGUAAUGUCAGCUUAG
rnacentral:lncRNA from 1 species